rnacentral:piRNA from 1 species
UAACUAGGCCAAAAUAGAAGAGGAUAGACCUU